CGCAAGUGUGAGCCCACAGUAGUGCAUGUAUUGUGAAUAGUAACAUAUCUUCAACACUGAAGAAGACACAUCUGUUUCCAUUCUAACAGUGUGCCGGAAGCUACACAUUUUGGGUGCAACCAACAGGGACAUCUGGCCAGGUCAUGCCCCGCUGCCAUGGAGUGUGACGUGGCCGCGUGUAAUUGGGCACCUGAGAUAGGUGUCACCGUGCAAGAGACCUUACCGGAUCCCAGAAAGUCGACGAAGUGGCGUUCGCAAAGAGACAGCUAACACAGUUCCGGAGCUGUCGCCAAGGGCCAGCACUAAGCCGGAACAGCACCAUUAUCACAAAUAUGAACUUGUAUCACCCACCACAAGCACUACUGCACGCACCCAGGACUGGUGACCGUGUCUGUAUUAUUGUGAGGCGGAUAUUGUUUAUUAUUUGGGACUGCAUUCCCCCGUUAUUUACCAUGUGUAGUACA